rnacentral:rRNA from 1 species
UACGGAGGGAGCUAGCGUUGUUCGGAAUUACUGGGCGUAAAGAGCGCGUAGGCGGCUCGGUAAGUGUGAAGUGAAAUCUCUAGGGCUCAACCCAGAAACUGCUUUACAUACUGCCAAGCUGGAGUGAUGAAGAGGUUUGUGGAAUUCCUGGUGUAGCGGUGAAAUGCGUUGAUAUCAGGAGGAACACCCAUGGCGAAGGCAGCAAACUGGUCAUCAACUGACGCUGAGGCGCGAAAGCGUGGGUAGCAAACAGG